UACGAAGGGGGCUAGCGUUGCUCGGAUUGACUGGGCGUAAAGGGCGCGUAGGCGGAUAGUACAGUCAGGCGUGAAAUUCCUGGGCUCAACCUGGGGCUGCGUUUGAUACGUGUUGUCUGGAGUUCGGAAGAGGGUCGUGGAAUUCCCAGUGUAGAGGUGAAAUUCGUAGAUAUUGGGAAGAACACCGGUGGCGAAGGCGGCGACCUGGUCCGAUACUGACGCUGAGGCGCGAAAGCGUGGGGAGCAAACAGG
rnacentral:rRNA from 1 species